rnacentral:rRNA from 1 species
UACGUAGGGGUGAGUCGCUGUUCGGUGAAUCACUGGGCGUAAAGGGCGUGUAGGCGGUCUGUUAAGUCUGAUGUGAAAUCCCCUCGCUCAACGAGGGAACUGCGUCGGAUACUGGCAGACUCGAGUACCGGAGAGGAAGGUGGAAUUUCCGGUGUAGCGGUGAAAUGCGUAGAUAUCGGAAGGAACAUCAGUGGCGAAAGCGACUUCCUGGACCAGUACCGACGUCAGGCACGAAAGCGUGGGGAGCAAACAGG